UUUGAACAAACACAAUAUUAAGAAAAUAAAAGCAGCCAUAAUGUUAUUAACAUAUUUAAAAUCCUUUAAUGCAGCAACACUGAGCGAUUUCUGUGUCAUCACACACGCCACGUUGGAAAUUCUUACGAACACAGUCAUUAUUGCACCUUUGUUUAUCACAUUUUAGUCGAAACAUGCAAAUCGAUAUUUGAUCAGGCCCUGCCGUUGUGCCACUUCUAAUUGCUUCUGCAGUGAUAACAAUUAAACAUAAUGUCAUUAGAAUUUGUGUGUGGAAUUUAGAGCUGCGGUUCGAUGGGAUUUCUAUUUAUUUAUUUAUUAGAGGAGAAAAACUAAUUUUGGGAAUGUAAUUUUAGUUACUUUAAUUAAAAUGAUUAAAAAAAUGGUGGUUGUUUACACGAAUCCAAGAUAUUUUCAUGUGAAAAUGAUAUCAUGAAUUGUUAGAUUAUUUAAUAAUUCAUAAUACUAUUUUUAUAUAGGCAUACUUUUAUAAGAGUAGGCACCAAAUAAAAUUAAUAAAAGAUAAUUUUUGUAACUAUCUUUUGUUCAAAGAGUAACUUGAUUAAGCUAUGAAACAAUUUUAUAGUUACCUGAAGUCAUCAAAAGCAUAUUCACGAAAAGAAUGCAGAAGAAAAACUUUGAAAAUGUGUUGAUAGCCAUUCUAUAAUAAUCACGUUAUGUAUAUUCUCUUGCUUUCUUCAACG
rnacentral:lncRNA from 1 species